UAGGGUUGUGCCCCCCGCAGGCAUGAAGGGGUUAAGGGCGCCGUCCAGCUGUGCAGUGCAGAUGUGAGAUAUGCAGAUGAGGCAGAGCAGGUUUUAUAAGGCGGGUGCAGAGCCAGCACCCCCAAAAGCCACAGUGACACCCCCAUAGGCUCUGCUCGCCGCCCGCCCCACGGCACCCAGCACCCGCCGCCCCGGGCAGGAUAUCAUCGUAUACUGUAAGUUCACUAUGAGACACUACAGUAUAGAUGAUGUACUC